UACGUAGGGUGCGAGCGUUAAUCGGAAUUACUGGGCGUAAAGCGUGCGCAGGCGGUUCGUUGUGUCGGUGGUGAAAUCCCCGGGCUUAACCUGGGAACUGCAUUGGUGACUGGCGGGCUAGAGUAUGGCAGAGGGGGGUAGAAUUCCACGUGUAGCAGUGAAAUGCGUAGAUAUGUGGAGGAACACCGAUGGCGAAGGCAGCCCCCUGGGUCAAAACUGACGCUCAUGCACGAAAGCGUGGGGAGCAAACAGG
rnacentral:rRNA from 1 species